UACGGGAGGCAGCAGUGGGGAAUAUUGCACAAUGGGCGAAAGCCUGAUGCAGCUAUGCCGCGUGUAUGAAGAAGGCCUUAGGGUUGUAAAGUACUUUCAUCGGGGAGGAAAAACAAAACUAAUAAUUUUAUUUCUUGACGUUACCCGAAAAAGAAGCACCGGCUAACUCCGUGCCAGCAGCCGCGGUAAUACGGAGGGUGCUAGCGUUAAUCAGAAUUACUGGGCGUAAAGAGCACGUAGGUGGUUUUUUUAAAGUCAGAUGUGAAAUCCCUGGGCUUAACCUAGGAACUGCAUUUUGAAACUGAAAUACUAGAGUAUCGUAGAGGGGGUAGAAUUCUAGGUGUAGCGGUGAAAUGCGUAGAUAUCUGGAGGAAUACCUGUGGCGAAAGCGGCCUCCUAAACGAAUACUGACACUGAGGUGCGAAAGCGUGGGGAGCAAACAGGGAUUAGAUACC
rnacentral:rRNA from 1 species